UACGGAGGGAGCUAGCGUUAUUCGGAAUUACUGGGCGUAAAGCGCACGUAGGCGGCUUUGUAAGUAAGAGGUGAAAGCCCAGAGCUCAACUCUGGAAUUGCCUUUUAGACUGCAUCGCUUGAAUCAUGGAGAGGUCAGUGGAAUUCCGAGUGUAGAGGUGAAAUUCGUAGAUAUUCGGAAGAACACCAGUGGCGAAGGCGGCUGACUGGACAUGUAUUGACGCUGAGGUGCGAAAGCGUGGGGAGCAAACAGGAUUAGA
rnacentral:rRNA from 1 species